rnacentral:rRNA from 1 species
AUUGAACGCUGGCGGCAGGCCUAACACAUGCAAGUCGAACGAGUGGCGGACGGGUGAGUAAUGGCCGGGAAACUGCCUGAUGGAGGGGGAUAACUACUGGAAACGGUAGCUAAUACCGCAUACCAUCAGAUGUGCCCAGAUGGGAUUAGCUUCUUGGUGGGGUAACGGCUCACCAAGGCGACGAUCCCUAGCUGGUCCGAGAGGGUGACCAGCCACACUGGGACUGAGACACGGUCCAGACUCCUACGGGAGGCAGCAGUAGGGAAUAUUGCACAAUGGACGCAAGCCUGAUACAGCCAUGCCGCGUGUAUGAAGAAGGCCUUCGGGUUGUAAAGUACUUUCAUCAGAGAGGCGUUACCCGCAGAGAAAGCACCGGCUAACUCCGUGCCAGCAGCCGCGGUAAUAC